rnacentral:rRNA from 1 species
CGACUCUCGGCAACGGAUAUCUCGGCUCUCGCAUCGAUGAAGAACGUAGCGAAAUGCGAUACUUGGUGUGAAUUGCAGAAUCCCGUGAACCAUCGAGUCUUUGAACGCAAGUUGCGCCCGAAGCCGUCUGGCCGAGGGCACGUCUGCCUGGGCGUCACG